GAAGGCUUCGGCCUUAGUGGCGCACGGGUGCGUAACGCGUGGGAAUCUGCCCCUUGGUUCGGAAUAACAGUUGGAAACGACUGCUAAUACCGGAUGACGACGUAAGUCCAAAGAUUUAUCGCCGAGGGAUGAGCCCGCGUAGGAUUAGGUAGUUGGUGUGGUAAAGGCGCACCAAGCCGACGAUCCUUAGCUGGUCUGAGAGGAUGAUCAGCCACACUGGGACUGAGACACGGCCCAGACUCCUACGGGAGGCAGCAGUGGGGAAUAUUGGACAAUGGGCGAAAGCCUGAUCCAGCAAUGCCGCGUGAGUGAUGAAGGCCUUAGGGUUGUAAAGCUCUUUUACCCGGGAUGAUAAUGACAGUACCGGGAGAAUAAGCUCCGGCUAACUCCGUGCCAGCAGCCGCGGUAAUACGGAGGGAGCUAGCGUUAUUCGGAAUUACUGGGCGUAAAGCGCACGUAGGCGGCUUUGUAAGUAAGAGGUGAAAGCCCAGAGCUCAACUCUGGAAUUGCCUUUUAGACUGCAUCGCUUGAAUCAUGGAGAGGUCAGUGGAAUUCCGAGUGUAGAGGUGAAAUUCGUAGAUAUUCGGAAGAACACCAGUGGCGAAGGCGGCUGACUGGACAUGUAUUGACGCUGAGGUGCGAAAGCGUGGGGAGCAACAGGAUUAGAUACCCUGGUAGUCCACGCCGUAAACGAUGAUAACUAGCUGUCCGGACACUUGGUGUUGGGUGGCGCAGCUACGCAUUAGUUAUCCGCCUGGGGAGUAC
rnacentral:rRNA from 1 species